rnacentral:lncRNA from 1 species
GCGUCUUUUCCCAGAAUGCCAUACCACCUCCCAAACCAUGACUCAAUCACAGUAAACGGACGGAGGAUGUAUAAUAUGCAGUUACUUAGGCUUGUGUUGAAUUGUAUGCCUAAAAGCUCUAGGGGCAAGCAGUAGAAGGGGUGACUGCUGGAAUAUCAUUGACCAAAGAAACCAGGUUUUUUGUUUGUUUUUGUUUAUUUGUUUCUUAAAGAUUGUGUUUAUUUGAGAGAGAGACAGAGCAUGAGCCAGGGGAAGAGGCAGAGGAAAGGGAUAAGCAGACUCCCUGCUGGGCAUGGAGCCCUACUAGGGACCCUGAGAACUAGACCUGAGCUGAAAUCAGACACUUAACCGACUGAACCACCCAGGCACCCAGAAGAGCCAAAAGUUUUAAUGAGGGUUAUUAUUGGAACAUAGUUGUAUACUAUCAAUAUACCAACUGUUAAUGUUUUCUGAUAAUAGUGUUUAGAAAUACUUAGGAAAAACAUAUUUUGAUAACAAAUACGACAAAAAUUAAUCCUUUUAUGUAUAAAAAUGUAUUCAAUUCAAUGCAAAUACUCUAAGAAAUAAAUGAAAAAAAUACAAUUAAAAAAAUUGGAGGAGGUGGAACACAGACUUAAAUAACAAAGAAAUGCACAUAAAAAUAGUAAGAUAGUGUUUUUCUCCUUCAUAUUAACAAGGAAUAACAACUUUCAUAUUCUUUUGCAGUAAAAGUAUGAAAGAAACUCAGCAAGUAAAUGAAACAUGCCUAUAAUGCUUUUGGAAAACGAUUUAUAAUAAACAACAAAAUUUUUCAAUGCAUGAGAAGAGUUGCUAGACAAGUUUAUUUAAUCACUUAGAAUACGUCAUGUUAACUCAAGGAAGAAGCAAAGUGCCUGAAAAGCCAGGAUAAACUAUGUUAUGUAUUUGACUGUUUUGUUAAGUGACUUUAUCAGUUAAUCUCCAUGUCCAUGGCAGUAAGCAAAUCCUGUAUACGGAAAGAAUGUAUCUAUGAGAACGGAUCUUUUGUAAAUUUUUCAUAUUCUCAAGCUUCUUCCAAGACUCUAUUAAGAUAUUCUCACCUGCACACUUGAGAUGGUUAAAAUAAGUAUAACAGUCCUUGUGAGAUAAUGGUGGACCUAUCUGAGCAACAAUGGAGCCUUGUCCCAACCAGCAGGUGAAGGGAUUUUGAACCUUGUCAUCAGGUGCUUCCAAAAACGUGAUUAACUUUUGUAAUCACCUCUGGAAUUUAAAGAGUUAAGUGAGAAACAUUUAUUCAAUACCUAUCAGAAGUGUUUACUUUUUUCUU